GAUGAAGAACGCAGCGAAAUGCGAUAAGUAAUGUGAAUUGCAGAAUUCAGUGAAUCAUCGAAUCUUUGAACGCACAUUGCGCCCGCCAGUAUUCUGGCGGGCAUGCCUGUUCGAGCGUCAUUUCAACCAUCAAGCCCCCCGGCUUGUGUUGGGGACCUGCGGCUGCCGCAGGCCCUGAAAAGCAGUGGCGGGCUCGCUGUCACACCGAGCGUAGUAGCAUACAUCUCGCUCUGGGCGUGCUGCGGGUUCCGGCCGUUAACCCACCUUCAUAACCCAAGGUUGACCUCGGAUCAGGUAGGAAGACCCGCUGAACUUAAGCAUAUCAAUAAGUGGAGGA
rnacentral:misc_RNA from 1 species